ACGAACGCUGGCGGCGUGCUUAACACAUGCAAGUCGAACGGGUCUGCCCUGUUUUUUGCGGGGUGGGUCAGUGGCGAACGGGUGAGUAACACGUGAGUAACCUGCCCCUCACUUCUGGAUAACCGCUUGAAAGGGUGGCUAAUACGGGGUGUUCUGGCUGUGCCGCAUGGUGUGGCUGGGAAAGAUUCACUUUUGUGGUGUUUUGGUGGGGGAUGGGCUCGCGGCCUAUCAGCUUGUUGGUGGGGUGAUGGCCUGCCAAGGCCUUGACGGGUAGCCGGCCUGAGAGGGUGGGCGGUCACACUGGGACUGAGAUACGGCCCAGACUCCUGCGGGAGGCAGCAGUGGGGGGUAUUGCACAAUGGGCGGAAGCCUGAUGCAGCGACGUCGCGUGAGGGAUGGAGGCCUGCGGGUUGUGAACCUCUUUCGCCGGUGAAGAAGGUCCUGCUCUUUGUGGUGGGGUUGACGGUAGCCGGGUUAUGAAGCGCCGGCUAACUACGUG
rnacentral:rRNA from 1 species